rnacentral:lncRNA from 1 species
GUGAGUCCUCAGCGAGAAUAAUCCAUCUUUAGGGAGGAUAACAGAACCACCCCUGACUGAGCAGGAAGAUUAGCCCUGAGCUAACUGCUGCCCCCAAUCCUCCUCUUUUUGCUGAGGAAGACUGGCCCUGAGCGAACAUCUGUGCCCAUCUUCCUCUACUUUCUAUGUGGGAUGCCUACCACAGCAUGGCGUGCCAAGCGGUACCAUGUCCGCACCCAGGAUCCGAACCGGCAAACCCUGGCCCCAGAAGCGGAACAUGCGAACUUAACCACUGCACCACCAGGCCAGCCCCAAGGACCCCAUGAUCUUCAGUUUGCUUCAUUUACCCAUUAAACAAAUAACUAUUGAGCUCCUGUUGUAUGCCAGGCACCGAGGAUACCACGAUGACCAAGAUAGACUAGGUCCUGCUCUCAUGCAGCUGAUGUUCUCGUCACAAAAACACUGAACAAAGAAAUAACUUCAGAUGGUGAGGAGUCCCACGAAAUAAAGAACGAUGAUGAGAUAGUCCCUUGGGUGAGGCGAGGGGGGCCCCUUUCGAUGUGAUGGGUAGACAAGGCCCCUAGGGAAGCCACGUUUAGGCUGAGAAUUGGCUGAGGAGAAGGAACCAUGGGGCAUUCAUAGGACAUUCAUGGAGCCAGGCAGAGGGAAUAGUUGUAAAAGUUGUAGAAUUUUUAUUGGAGAAACCAUCUGGGUCUACAACACAGGAGCCACAGAGCUGACCCAGACAAGGAAAUGCUGUUUUGACACACGCCGUGAUGACACAGACCUCCAGCCCCUGCUACAGGGUGCGACCUGACAACUCCUCUACAAACAUUCGAGAGUGCCUACUGAGUGCAAGGCACAGCGCCUCUGAGUCAGAAUCGCUGCUCAGCGCCAAGUGGCUGGAGGCAGCCAAGAGGAAUGCUUGCUGACCUUUCGGAGCUGGCAGUGACAGUGAUAAAUGAAGGGGGAUUUGGAUGCUCGCCCUUGACUAUAAGAGGAAACAGGCGGAUUGUGAACUGGGGCUCAUAUUCUGAAGCUUGAGUUUCACCAGCUAUGCAGUUUCUAGAGCCAUUUGCUCCCACAGAGCAUGGCAGGCAUUUGGACUUAAGGACUGACCUACUGGACUUAUGGACUACUCAGCUAUCGGCUCAGAUUCCUGAGCCUGGAACGUGCAGGCAACCUCACCAAGCUGUGGCCUCUGCUCGGGGCCAGGCUGGCCUGGUGGGCACACCGGUGACGGAGCUGACAUGAAGGGCCAUGUUGGGAGUCCAAACACCGGGGUCUCCCUCCCAGCAGCGCCCACAGGAGCCAGGCAACCUCUCCAGCCAUUCUAAUAGAAACAAGCAAGCAUCUGCUAGUGUCCAGGCAUGGUGUGGGCUCCUCACACACAGUAUCUCAUUUAACCCCCAGCACCAUCCUUUGGGGAAAGUACUGCCACGGUCCCUCCCAGAUGAGGCUGCUGGAGGCUUUGUAACUGGCCCAAGUUCCCUCAAGGGCAGAGGUGGGAUUCUAACUUGGGUCUGGCUAAUUUCAGGUUGCCUAUUCCAUUCUCUCACUAAUUCAUCAGUUACACUGGAAUAGUAAUCAUAUGUGUCCCCCCUUCUCACGCUGUUGUUGGGAGACUCAAACCAGACGAGAAGGUGCUUUGUAAACACUGACGAGCUAUUCCAGGGUCUGCUAGUCCCCGCGCCGUUUCUGGCAGCUCUGCUAUCUGCAGUUUCCUGCCCACCCUUGACCACACACCUAUUUCCCACCCUCCCACUCCUGUGUGGAACACCCACCCGCCUCACUACUGCAGCUAGCCCUGAGAUUGCUGCCGAUGCUGCCCCUGGGGCAGUGGUAUGUCCCCACCUUUCUCCAGAGCAGCAGCCCUGCCCCAGGCUGCCUGGGAAGGUUUGGCAUUGGGCCAGCGGGAUGGGGCGGGCGUGUGGAAAAUCUGAGGAGAUGUUUUUCUCUCUUGGGAUGGAAGCCAAACUGCAGUCCACUGGAGCUGUAUAAAUUAUGCACCCAGAAAAGAGUUAGUUUAGAAAGAAAAGGAUAAAAAAUUCUUUACUGUUUGCUUAGUGAGCUGGGUUGGCGGAGGCAGGGCCAAACCCCGCAUAUUUGGACUAACUAGCUGUGUUUGCAAAACAGGCCCAUGUUCCAGGAGACGGCCAGGAAGACCACAAAACAGCCAGUGCUUCUCUGCAGGCCUUUCUUCAGCCUACUUUCCAUCCCCUUGUGCCAGCCCGGGCCUCCGGCUUAGUUUUGUAGGCCUAGAAGGCUGAGGGGUUCAGGGGAAAGGUGGGCCAUUAUGAGCUCUCUCCGCACACUCCUUUCUCACUCCCUAUGAAGUCCAACUGUCCAGAGAGCUGACCUGAGGACACCGCCUCCAGGAAGCCUUCCCUGGGCCCUGAGGCUGGGUCAGGGCUCUUUCCUGGAGCCUCCCACAGGACCUAGUCCUUAUCACACUGUAUUAUUGACCUGGCCGAUAGCCAGUCUCCCACAGGCUCCUUGAGGGCAGAGACCUGGUCGGUUUUGCUCACAGUGGCAUCCACAGUGUGGUAUUUCAGUGAAGAAAUAAACGAAGACCACCUCUGGUCUCCUGUGUCCCACUCUGGGCCUUUUCCCCAAUUCAGCUGCACAAAUUCCUUCCAGCAGAAGCCACGCAUUCUGGAUGUUGUGUUGCAUGUCUCGUGCUGUGCUUUGCUCCU